rnacentral:lncRNA from 1 species
AUGCUCUCUCCACUGGGCUGCCUGCUCCCUCCUGUCUGCUCCAGCGUCUCUGGAGGAGCAGCCUCAAGCCCUGUGCUUUUGUCUUUGCCAGGACCAAGCAGCAAAUCAGCCCACAGUUGUCCUGAAACAGUAUCAGCCACACUGAAGAUAUAUCUGAAAAUGGCAAUAAACACACAAAGCUUUAUUCUGCCUUGUGGAAGUAAAUAUCAGGAUUGGAAGAAAUUAAGGAGAUGCGACUACAACUAUAUGAAAUGGAAAAUCCUGGAUGCGAUCUUGGAACAGAAAAUGGAGAGGACAAAGGAAACUGGUGAAAUUCAAACAAAGUCACUAGUUUACCGUUAAGUAUUACAACUGUAUAUCAUACUGAUUGUUAAUUUCCUCAUUUUAUAAUGCUAUAAUUCUGUGAGUUGUUAAUGUUAUGGGAAGCUAAGUUAAAGAUAUAUGCAAAAUUUCUGUAUAUGUUCGCAACUUUUCUGUAAGUCUGAAAUCAUUUCAAAAUGAACAGUUUAAAAGGUUGAGGGCCAGGGAUUUACCUCAGUGUUUCCGCCGCCUGCCUCACAAGCACAAGGACCCAAGUUCGAUCCCUGGUACCAAAAAAAAUUUAAAAAUAAAAGGUUGAGGCAGGUGGAGUGUCACAAGUUCAAGGCCAGCCUGAGCUACAUAGUGAGAUCCUAUCUCAAAAAUAAAUUAAUUUAGAAGUUUGAAAUGAUCUAUCUCUGCUUAUUCAAGGAUUCUCUAAGAUAACUAUUGUUUUAGUCUAUUUUCUGUUGCUGUAACAAAAUAUCUGAGACCAAUUAAUUUAUAAAAAACAGAAGUUUACCUGUAUCAUAAUCCUGGAGGCUCAGAAAUCCCAGGGCCUGCCACCAGCAUCUGUCACCCUCUACUGGGACCACACUCUGCAUCAUAACAUGGUGAGGGCUUUAUGUGGUGCAAAGGAGCAAGCCAAAGUGGUUUCUCUCACUCUUAUAAAGCCACUAACUUCAUCAAGGGCCUCCAUGAUCUCUUAGGAUCUCUGACCUCCCAAAGGCCUCAUUUCCAAAUACCAUUAACAUAUGAAUUUGGAGACUAAGUUUCUGACACACGAACUUUGUGGAGACACAGUUGCCCCUGGGCAAUUACUUUAAUCUCUUUGGAGAACAACCAGCUCCUUAAUGAAAAAUAUGCGUCAUCUGCCCUAAAGACCCUCUAAGUCUACUUUGGCCAUUUUAUGAGUUCAGAGACCCACACAAACUCCACCUGGGAGUCCUGUGAAGAAGCCAGCUCCAAGGGCUACAGUGGGAUCCAGGUGUGGGGGAAGUGGCCCUGGGCACCAGCAGAGGAUCCAGGGAGAAAGGGCUUCUGGCUCCAACACACUCACACCCUCAACCUCUGGCCACCUAUCAGAGUCCUUUUUACAAGACAGCAGAGAUGUAGGGCUUAGUGCACCCCUCCCACCUGUGUGAAGGUGUGUUCUGAGAGGACUCACUUGCACAGGACCCCUCCUGUUUGUGAGCCAACAGCACCACAAACAUUCAAAAGGGGUCCUCAUCGAGGUCCACUCAGGGACACCAAAUGGGAUCAGGAUCAGCACCAGGCACUAGGGCCUCAACAGGAGAGGUGGCCAGCCUGCUGCCCUGGCCAGAGACAUAGAUAUGCACUAGUGGGUCAUCUGUGACACCCCUCCCCUGACCCCUGCUUCUGGUUUAUAAGCAAACCCAUCAAGAGGUUGAAGAAGGACACAGCUAGCUAAAAGGUAGAAAUAAUAGCAAGAACAAAUAGCCUGAAGCCAGCACAAACAGCUUUUGUAAGAUGAAUGAUUUUGGUUUAAAUAAUUGUGGGAGACAAAUUCAUGGCGUAUUCUAGGAUCAAGAAAUCCAUGUUCUCAGUACCCUGAAUUUACAAAUCAGGUGAUAGUGAGGUCAAACACAAGACACAUUUAUUUAAAAGGACAGAAGCAACUUCAGCAAACCAGAUCACUUGUUCAAGUAGAAGCCAGCCUGACAAAUAAGACACUUGGUGGCUCUCACUCAGAGUUUGACAGCCUUUCCAGAGACCUGCACCAAAACACACUCCUUUAUCCUACUGAGUCAAACCUGGCUGCUGAACAGGUAGGCAUCUCAGAAGGAAACCGCUCCCUUCCCAGCGCUGAGAGGACCCAAGUUCAGAAGAGAUGGAAGGAAGGCUGGUUACUUCCAUGAAUGCACAUGGUUGUGGCCAGGGGCUAAGUGCAGUUGCUAAAGGCUAUUUUAGGCAGCUUAACUUUCAGACAGGGACUGAAGUAAACACAGAUGUGAAGCAUAAAGGAAACUACUUUGAUGAACACUUCCAGGAGGAUGGAUGUUCACACCACCACUCCAGACCUUAAUGAUCUGUACAGAGCUAUAGCACCAAGGGAAGGCUUCAGUUUCCUGUGAGGUUGGAUGUCUCAUGGAAGUUUCUGGAGCAAACAGUCUGAGAGUCCUUUCCAAGCCAAUAACUCACUUCAAAGACGUGGACACCACCGCUUUUAUUCCACACUUAACAUACAAUUACCUGAUUUUUUUUUCUUGAGGAAAAUAAUUCUAGAAGCCAUAUGUAGACAUUUAACUUUUGAUAUGUAGUGUCAAAUCUCUAAUUGGAAUGAUUGUCUCAAUUUACACAUGGAUAAAAAUGUCCAUUCUAAUACUACCCUUUGCAGGCUGCCAUUAAGUAGUUUGGCAGAAAUUUUUCUUUGUUUCAAUUGGCACUUAAAACCAAAUAGUAAAUCAGAGUGUUUUUCUUUAAAAUGUUGCUGUCUUUGGCCACAUUUCUACUGAAAUAUUGGGGGGGUUUUUUCUUGAUUUGUAUGGUGUCUUUAAAUAUGACAGUUGCAAAUAUUUUCUCCGUUUGUCAUGUGUUAAUUUCACUUACUGGUGUUUGGGCCACACAGAAGUGCUGGAUUAUAAUCUUUUUCUUUGUUGUUUCUACCUUUGUUACCAAGGUUAGGAAAGCCUUUCCUAUGCCAAGAUUGCAAAAAUAUUAAUCCAUGUGUUCUUCUGGGCCACUUAUGGAUCUGUGUUUCACAUUCUAUAUUUAAUCUUUCUGGUGGUUAUCUUGGCAUAGAAGUUAGGUAAACAUUUAACUUUACCUCCCUCCAAUGUCUAGCCUUUUGUCAUGACACCAUUUAUUGAAUUAUCUUUCCUUCCCCUAAUGUUUUGAAAUGUCUGUGGGGUGGGAGACUAGUUCUCUGACAGGCUGUCAACUCUACAUUGCUGACACCCUCCUUCCUGCUAAGUAACUGCCUUAAGAUGCAGGCAGUGGCUGAGGACUGGUAAGUGUCUAGGGAGAAUUGGUUCUCAUCUUAGGCUCAUCAACCCCAAUCCUAACCACUAUCUGCCCCACUUUCCGUUCAGUAUGUCCACUUUCCUGAAAUCCCUUAAGAGAACUUUUGCAAAUUUACAAGAGAAACAUGACUAUAGUUGCCCUUCACAGCCACUUUUUUCCUGCCAAAGCUUUGUCAACCACUUUCAUGGCAAAGUCUGAAACAUAUCCCUGUUCCACAGCUGGCCUUGAACUCAAUAGGACCCAUAUGCCUGCACUGGUUUCAAGGUACAUGGUGCUGCUUGUCACAGCACCUGACAGAAGUUAGGGAAUACUGUCCCUCACCUACCCAGAGCCUUGGGGAAGAGGGAAGAGAAACCACACAAAACUGUCCUCUUCAGACAGGCAGACUGGCAUUUCUGUGGGCCUCUUGGAUUCUGAAGAAUAAAAAAAGUGCCUAUGGCUCUCUAGAAGGAAAGGAAGGACAGAGAGGAGGUGGGAGGUGGGGCCCCAGGGAGCUGGGCCAUGGUGCUGAGGUGCCAUCCAGGAGUGGUGAGCUUCAGAGCAGUUUGCACUACACACUCUUGGACUUGCCUUCUGGCCGAAGUGUCAGAAAGGUGGUGUUUUUUUCUCAUUCCCACUCAGAUCGCCAACAACGUGUUAAGGUGCAGAGGGCAUCAUACUUACAUUUGGGUCAGCACAGCACCUGACACUUAAAAUGGGCUCAACAAAUACACAUUAAAUGAAUUUAAGUACAGAUGUUAUUAAUGGUAAUAAUUAACAUUUAGGAAUCACUAUUAUUUAUAUGACCCAAAAGCAUAUUGUGUGAAACUAAACUUUUGCUUUAUCUAACAGAUGUGUGCCUUUGGGAUAGACAACGAGGACACAAGAGGAACCGGUCUUUUUAAAGUUCUAAUAGGAUGACAAGUCUACUGUGGAGGAGAGGGGUUCUGGAGAAGUCCACCAGGCAAAAGAGCUCCAAGAUGAGGCCAAUGUCCUACAAAAGUCCAUUCAAGGGCUGUGGAUUUAGCUCAGUGGUUCCACUGCUUGCCCUGCAAGCACGAGGUCGAGUUUGAUCCCCAGUACCAAAAAAGUGCAUUCAAAUGAGGUUGAGGCAUUUUAGGGAGAAUUUAUCUCAUAAAUGUUCAAAAGCAACCCUGGUCCUUCCCAGGGCCAAAGCUUUGACUGCCUGUGUUCUUGUUGGUCCUCAGAGAAGUUCACAGCUCUUCAGUCAAUAAAAAUUUAACUUUUCAUUUGCUGUAUUCUCUCCAUGGUCCGUAAGGUCCAUGCAGAACUAUUUCUUCUCUGCCCCUGUCACUGUCUACCUCUGGGCUUCCCCAGGUGAGACGCCCACAGCUCCCGCAGCUUGUCAGCGAAACCACAAGCAAAUCCAGGACGACCCUUUCUGACGCCUGAUGACCUCUCUCACCCACUAUUCCUGGAGAGAAUUCUCGUUAAAAGGCCACAGAGCGUCCCAAAUAAAUCGUUUGAAGUAUUCGCUCCCAGCUUCCAAGCCCUACUCACAGAACACUUGGUCUUUGCCCAAGCGGCAGCUCAACACAUCACCUCUGAGGACCUGAGGCUUUACCAUACGCGUCUUGCAGCAACCUUAACUGUCGGUUUCCAG